GCAGGUGACGUGAUGAUGCUGCUCAUCUUCAUCUCCAGCUGUGUGGGUGAUGGAGGCUGAGGAUUGUGUGGAUGAUCAGGAGCUUCACUCUGAUCCUGACCUCCUCCUUCUGCUUCAGUGGUUUCUGGCUUCAUAACUUGGUCACCAUGGCGACCAUCUGGAUGACUGAGGUCCCUGAUUUGACUUUCUGAGAAUCAGGCUGGUGCUGAACAUCAGGCUGUUAACUGCAGAGCAUCAGACCUUAUCUG